rnacentral:tRNA from 1 species
UGGCUCAGAGGUUAAGAGCACUGGCUGCUCAUCCAGAGGACCUGGGUUCAAUUCCCAG